UCCCAGACUCCUACGGGAGGCAGCAGUGGGGAAUAUUGCACAAUGGGGGAAACCCUGAUGCAGCAACGCCGCGUGAGUGAAGAAGUAUUUCGGUAUGUAAAGCUCUAUCAGCAGGGAAGAAGAAAGACGGUACCUGACUAAGAAGCCCCGGCUAACUACGUGCCAGCAGCCGCGGUAAUACGUAGGGGGCAAGCGUUAUCCGGAUUCACUGGGUGUAAAGGGAGCGUAGACGGCGACGCAAGUCUGGAGUGAAAGCCCGGGGCCCAACCCCGGGACUGCUCUGGAAACUGCGGCGCUGGAGUACGGGAGGGGCAGGCGGAAUUCCUGGUGUAGCGGUGAAAUGCGUAGAUAUCAGGAGGAACACCGGUGGCGAAGGCGGCCUGCUGGACUGCAACUGACGUUGAGGCCCGAAAGCGUGGGGAGCAAACAGGAUUAGAUACCCGAGUA
rnacentral:rRNA from 1 species